GUACCUAUGACAUAUAACUUAUUUAGGAGUCAGUGUCUUACUCACCCCUGUGUUCUGCAGCUUUCCCCUCAUAUUUCUCUAUGUUUGCAAAGUGGUGUUGGCUAAAAGAAAUGUGUCCCAGGGAACCCAGAUGCUCGAGGAAGAAAAGGUUCUCUCGCGGAAUAGUUUGAGAAGUGCUGCGUACUCUCUCCACUCCUUGCAGAUUUACAAUUUCCUAUUUUGUGCAGAUACCCACCCUCUGCCAUGUACCAUACAUGCCUCAGGGGACACUGAGCUCUGUUUAGCUGUAGUAAGCCAAGGGUGACCACAUCUUGCUCGUGAUUUGCUGGGAAUCUUCCUAUCUUCUUGUUUCUACAACUUUCACCUUUGUGCAUCCGCUACCAGCCUUUGUCUUCUGGCAUGAUUUGCACCCAGACUUAUCCAGCAUUGCGAUGUAACCCUCCUCAAAUCAUAGAGUCGAUGACAAAGAACGAGGUGAAAAAUAAAACAUUUAAGAUCCAAAGGUCAGAGCAGAGUUUUCUAAGAUGGCAGUCUACAUGUCACAAAAACUUUGCAUAAGAGUAAUUUCACAAAUGUGAAAUACGUUUUCUCAAUGCCACACCACACCUCACUCCCCAAG
rnacentral:lncRNA from 1 species